CAUGUGUGCAACAGCUCCAAGCGGUGAAGUAUCAAAGGCCAACUGUUUGCAAUCAAACUGAACAGCAAUUGAUGAUGCAGUGGCAUGAUUAUCUCUGCCACUCUCUCACUGGGAUGGACACACACACACAAACGAAGAUGAAACAAGCAUCAGUUGUUUCAAAACAAUGGGCUAUUGUGUUAAGCUGGACCCGGAUCAGCCGGACCUCACGAUCAGACAACGUGUGACAGGGAAGCCGAGGCUUCUGUAGAGACUUCUACGCCGGGAGGAUUAGCUAGCUAGUUAGCUACGUGCUAACCGUGCCGGUCCACAUGACGUGACUGUGCUAAAAUUAACAUCGCUGCCCAGCUGCGACGCACACAGGACCGCGGUGAGGACACACAACCAGGGCGUGGAUAAAAACAGCCACAUUUUAUCCAAAAUAGUUCAUUGUGUGAAGUUUUGUGGGGCUUUCGAGUUGGUCUUUCCUCAACACACUGACACACACUCCAGUGUGUUGCCUGUUGUGGUACUGACCACAAUCCUUUAGUUUUUUUUAGGCCGCAUCUACAACCACAACCAACGACUCAUGCGUUGGCCGUUAUACAAAGAUAUAAUUUAGAGAUAUGACACAUAAAGGGAUCAGAAAAUGGGGUCGCUGAUGCUCUGUCUCGUGUUUAAAUGGAAAGGCCUGUGAUCUUUUUGUGUUCGAUUACUUUUUGAACUUUGUUGGGACCACUGGAAAAGUAACUUACAGACCAUGUCGUAAUCCCACGGGUUUACUCUAUUUGGGGGGCGCGUGUUACAUGUCCCCAUGUUUUGUUCUGCCCCUUUAACUGUGUGAGUGGGGGAGAGUGCCCAUUUUCUCGAUUCACAGGUGUGCGGUGCUGGUUGGCUGUUGGCGAGGAGGCGUGGCCACUGAAGACCUGGAGACUAAUCGGCUAACGAGCUGGUGGACUAUAUAAACCAGCCUGGUUGCUGCAGAAAAGAAGAGAAAGCAGAGAGAGAAGCCGUGUGUUUGGCCUGUCAAAGACGUUUUGUUGUGGUCGGAGAGACGCAAGGACGCGCAGACGCAGGAGCCCCUUGCGCGUCUCUUGCGCGCCUUUUCACACCUCCUUGCGUGCGUCGACCCAUUUUCUAGACUAGCAUCAAAAGCUACGCAAGACGGGCUGCGAUUGGUCUGCUAACUACGUCCUUUACGGAGUCUCACAUUUCCGCUUUCAUAGCCCAAUACCGCCAUUAUUAAAACAGAGUGUUUACGAGAGAACGGAUCAGAUUUAAGAACUUUUGUUGGAAGAAAUGCGUAAAUAUGAUUCAUGGAGGGAGAUCUCCACAAACGUCGGUUUGCCGGUCGAGGGGUGAACAAAGUUGUGGAGGAAAAUUCGGGACAAAUGUGUCCGCGAUGAAAAGGAACAGUGGAGAUGCACGGGGCAAUAAAGUCUAUGAUAAAUAAAUAAACCAACCAACAACUUCCACACACAAAGACGUGACUCUCUAGGUCGACUUCGACAAAAACACGUUACUCCACCUGUUGUUCUGGCGGUGAAUUGCUCUGCAACACACGCAAGGACGCUUUUAGAACCAUGAAUUGAAACGAGUGCGUCGAUGCAACGACGCAGAUGCAUGACCCGAUGGCGCAUGCGCAGCAGACGACCACGUGACUGCGGUCGAGCCAGGAUCCACUUCUAAAAGCACGUUCAACGAAGGCUGCGAAGAAGCAAGUUAAGACGUGGAAUGCUGUGUCACAUUCAGCUAACAUUUAAGCCACCUCUCUGGUUACGAAAUGACACCACGUUUUAUCAAACCCAGAAACUCCCCUUUUACACAAAGUAGCAAAAGCACAUGCAUUGUUUGCAAUGAAAUCCCUUUAAAAUGUCAUCAGGAGCUAAUGUCCUUCUCACUUCGGAUUCGAUUUGAAGGGAAAAGGUCAGCAGUUUCAAGCUAAUAAUAGCAGACAUUCAGACUUUCUAUGUGUAAAAAAGGAGAAUGUCUUGAUUUGGUUUGUCGGAAAAAGAAAAUCCUAUGAUAGAAUACCGGAAAAAAAGUCAUUUGUGAGUAAUCUUCAAAUCAGAUUCACAAGCCGAUUUGUUUAUUUUUACGUUGGAUGUAAAUGGUCCGUAGUUACAGAAUCAUUUCCCCACGGGUUGUUAGCGGACCCCCUCAACGUGUCACUCAGAGGGAACUUUCUGUCGACCUAGAUCAUUUAAUCAGAUUCACAAGCCAAUCGGAAGGUCUUGAUUUUCUCUCUGGUUUUCUCUCUGACACCUUGAGAUCUACUAUUGAUCAAUGUGUUUCACUUGACUGCUUCUAUGUCGUCAACAGUUGUGCGCAGCUUCAUUGGACGACAUCUGGGAAGAAGAAGAAGGCGCUCCACACGCCUGCUGAGGGAACAUCUCUGCUGCGGAUACCUUGGGAUUGCUGACUAAAACCUCAAAAACACUUCAAGCUCUGGGACGUUUGAACCGUGGACCAUCCACACCUCAACCUUCCGGUUAUCUCCCUGCACUGUUCCACCGCACACCCACGCCGCUGGACUUUGUCAAGUCGAUGAGACGAACCUCAAUACUCUCAUAGACUCACAGGCUGGAAGCCACAUCCGUUCCGUAGUUGAUUUCACUACUUCUAUGAAUUGCUGUUGUUUAUUUCACAAGUUGUAUGCGUUGUAGGAGGAUCCUCUGAGGUUCCUCCUCAGCAGAGUGAAGAACAAAUGCCAGAAGAAAUAGGCAAGUUUGUCCUUCAGGGAUUAGCUCACCCAGAUGAGGAGCUGAAAGGAUCGAAGCCCAACGGUGGCUCAGAAGGUUGCAGUGCUGUUUUAAUUCCACCAGAGCUCAAGAUGAUUCAUGUUGUGGACCAUUUUUUUAAUGUUUAAUAUAUAAAUUGCAGAACAAUGUCUCCUUCUUCAGAAGAUUCUUGAAAUUUUGUUUAUUUCAGAGGUUUAUUUGUUUUAUCUGUUAUCUGUUUUAUCAGAGCUGCAUAAAGGCGGUGUGAACAAAUAGCUCAGUCAGAAGAAGUCAAAGGCAACAAAGAGAUGUUAUAGGGGGAAUGACAUGGUGGCGUGGUCACGCUGUUGGGUGGUGGUGUCAGCCCGGGUUCGAAUCCCACCGCAAUGAGGACAUCAGUGUGCAUCGCCGCGGUACAGCAGAGACGUCCGGGCUUUCCCCACUGUCAAAGUUACAUCUCAGAGUAACUGCAGAGCAGAAGAAGAAACCUGUUGUCCUCAGCGCUGGAAACUGCGCCUCGUGUGGAGAGAAAAGAAGAGAAACACAACAUUAGAAAAUGCAUCAAAUUCACAAACUUAUAUGAAUACUACAACAAAUACAGCAAGUUGUCAAAGUACAUUCGCAAACUACAUUUGUACAUUUUAUGGCAAACAAUAUUAUGACUGAUCACGUAAAUCAUGUUAGGGGGUGGCGUGGUGGUUAGCACUGUCGCCUCACAGCAGGAAGGUCCUGGGUUCGACUCCGCCCAGUGGCCUGUCUGCAUGGUGUCUGUGUGGGUUCUCUCUGAGUACUCUGGCUUCCUCCCACAGUCCAAAGAUGUGCACUGGGGAUCAUGUUGGGAUCAAUUGGUGAUGCUAAAUUGCCCGUGAGUGUGAAUGGUUGUAUGUCCUGCGAUUGGCUGGCGACCACUCUACCACCCUGUCUUUUGCCCGAAGUUGGCUGGGGUAGACUCCCUGUGUGGAUAAGCGGUUUGCAGGUGGAUGGAUGGAUGGAUAAAUCAUGUUAAAUAAACAAUCUGUUAAACUCAACAAUAAGUUUUUUUUUUGAUAUUAAUGAAUUGCUAGAACUAGAUACUAUAAGAUCAUCUCACUUUAGACCACAG
ensembl:lncRNA